UACGUAGGGUGCAAGCGUUGUCCCGGAAUUAUUGGGCGUAAAGAGCUCGUAGGCGGUCUGUCACGUCGGCUGUGAAAACCCGGGGCUCAACCCCGGGCCUGCAGUCGAUACGGGCAGACUAGAGUGCGGUAGGGGAGACUGGAAUUCCUGGUGUAGCGGUGAAAUGCGCAGAUAUCAGGAGGAACACCGGUGGCGAAGGCGGGUCUCUGGGCCGUAACUGACGCUGAGGAGCGAAAGCGUGGGGAGCGAACAGG
rnacentral:rRNA from 1 species